rnacentral:rRNA from 1 species
UACGUAGGGUGCGAGCGUUAAUCGGAAUUACUGGGCGUAAAGUGUUCGCAGGUGGCCGCGCAAGUCGAGUGUGAAAUCCCCGAGCUUAACUUGGGAAUUGCGCUCGAAACUACGUGGCUCGAGUGUGGCAGAGGAAGGUGGAAUUCCACGUGUAGCGGUGAAAUGCGUAGAGAUGUGGAGGAACACCGAUGGCGAAGGCAGCCUUCUGGGCCAACACUGACGCUCAUGCACGAAAGCGUGGGGAGCAAACAGG